CAUACGAUUGAAUAAAAAUAUCACAAAAGAUGAUACGAUCAUGAGAUAGACAUCACAUCUGAGUCUGAGUUCUGUCGUUCAGUUCUUUUUCCAUUUCUGUUGUCUUCUUUCUCAUUUCUUUUUAAGCGAACAAUUU
rnacentral:ribozyme from 1 species